rnacentral:rRNA from 1 species
AUUCCAGCUCCAAUAGCGUAUACUAAAGUUGUUGCAGUUAAAAAGCUCGUAGUUGGAUUUCUAAUCUCUCUUGGGGUUCCUUUUCUAAAGAAAUGUGCGACCAUUCGAGAGAGAUUAUCCUCGUGCCUAGCCUUUCUCACUUUCAUUAGUCAGGAAGGGGACGCACGUCAUUUACUGUGAGCAAAAUAGAGUGUUCAAAGCAGGCUUAGGCCAUGAAUAUAUUAGCAUGGAAUAAUAAGAUAGGACCUUGGUCUAUUUUGUUGGUUUACAUUCCAAGGUAAUGAUUAAUAGGGAUAGUUGGGGGUAUUCGUAUUCAAUUGUCAGAGGUGAAAUUCUUGGAUUUAUGGAAGACGAACUACUGCGAAAGCAUUUACCAAGGAUGUUUUCAUCG